rnacentral:rRNA from 1 species
UACGGGGGGGGCAAGCGUUGUUCGGAAUUACUGGGCGUAAAGGGCUUGUAGGUGGCCAACUAAGUCAGACGUGAAAUCCCUCGGCUUAACCGGGGAACUGCGUCUGAUACUGGAUGGCUUGAGUUUGGGAGAGGGAUGCGGAAUUCCAGGUGUAGCGGUGAAAUGCGUAGAUAUCUGGAGGAACACCGGUGGCGAAGGCGGCAUCCUGGACCAAUACUGACACUGAAAAGCGAAAGCCAGGGGAGCAAACGGG